rnacentral:rRNA from 1 species
UACGAAGGGGGCUAGCGUUGCUCGGAAUCACUGGGCGUAAAGCGCACGUAGGCGGAUCUUUAAGUCAGGGGUGAAAUCCCGAGGCUCAACCUCGGAGCUGCCCUUGAUACUGGGGAUCUCGAGUCCGGAAGAGGUUGGUGGAACUCCGAGUGUAGAGGUGAAAUUCGUAGAUAUUCGGAAGAACACCAGUGGCGAAGGCGGCCAACUGGUCCGGCACUGACGCUGAGGUGCGAAAGCGUGGGGAGCAAACAGG